CCUACGGGAGGCAGCAGUGGGGAAUAUUGCACAAUGGACGAAAGUCUGAUGCAGCAACGCCGCGUGAGGGACGAAGGCCUUCGGGUUGUAAACCUCUUUUAGCAGGGAAGAAGCGAAAGUGACGGUACCUGCAGAAAAAGCACCGGCUAACUACGUGCCAGCAGCCGCGGUAAUACGUAGGGUGCAAGCGUUGUCCGGAAUUAUUGGGCGUAAAGAGCUCGUAGGCGGUUUGUCGCGUCUGCUGUGAAAUUUCGAGGCUCAACCUCGAACUUGCAGUGGGUACGGGCAGGCUAGAGUGCAGUAGGGGAGAUGGGAAUUCCUGGUGUAGCGGUGGAAUGCGCAGAUAUCAGGAGGAACACCAAUGGCGAAGGCACAUCUCUGGGCUGUAACUGACGCUGAGGAGCGAAAGCGUGGGGAGCGAACAGGAUUAGAUACCCUGGUAGUCCACGCCGUAAACGGUGGGUGCUAGCUGUGGGCCACAUUCCACGUGGUCCGUGACGAAGUUAACACAUUAWGCACCCCGCCUGGGGAGUACGGCCGCMAGGCUAAAACUCAAAGGAAUUGACGGGG
rnacentral:rRNA from 1 species